ACUUUUUUGUUUAAAUCCUGCUCAGGACGAACGCUGGCGGCGUGCCUAAUACAUGCAAGUCGAGCGGACAGAUGGGAGCUUGCUCCCUGAUGUUAGCGGCGGACGGGUGAGUAACACGUGGGUAACCUGCCUGUAAGACUGGGAUAACUCCGGGAAACCGGGGCUAAUACCGGAUGGUUGUUUGAACCGCAUGGUUCAAACAUAAAAGGUGGCUUCGGCUACCACUUACAGAUGGACCCGCGGCGCAUUAGCUAGUUGGUGAGGUAACGGCUCACCAAGGCAACGAUGCGUAGCCGACCUGAGAGGGUGAUCGGCCACACUGGGACUGAGACACGGCCCAGACUCCUACGGGAGGCAGCAGUAGGGAAUCUUCCGCAAUGGACGAAAGUCUGACGGAGCAACGCCGCGUGAGUGAUGAAGGUUUUCGGAUCGUAAAGCUCUGUUGUUAGGGAAGAACAAGUACCGUUCGAAUAGGGCGGUACCUUGACGGUACCUAACCAGAAAGCCACGGCUAACUACGUGCCAGCAGCCGCGGUAAUACGUAGGUGGCAAGCGUUGUCCGGAAUUAUUGGGCGUAAAGGGCUCGCAGGCGGUUUCUUAAGUCUGAUGUGAAAGCCCCCGGCUCAACCGGGGAGGGUCAUUGGAAACUGGGGAACUUGAGUGCAGAAGAGGAGAGUGGAAUUCCACGUGUAGCGGUGAAAUGCGUAGAGAUGUGGAGGAACACCAGUGGCGAAGGCGACUCUCUGGUCUGUAACUGACGCUGAGGAGCGAAAGCGUGGGGAGCGAACAGGAUUAGAUACCCUGGUAGUCCACGCCGUAAACGAUGAGUGCUAAGUGUUAGGGGGUUUCCGCCCCUUAGUGCUGCAGCUAACGCAUUAAGCAUUCCGCCUGGGAGACGAGGGAACC
rnacentral:rRNA from 1 species